GGAUCAGGUAGGGAUACCCGCUGAACUUAAGCAUAUCAAUAAGCGGAGGA
rnacentral:rRNA from 5 species